UCUCCUCAUGGACGACCAAAAGAGGGUGGGGGUGCUGGUUUUGCCACCCCCCUCUUGGGUGUAGGCGUGGGUACAUGGAGGCACCUAAUUAGGCGAUUUUUUGAUAGAUAAGGGAAGGAUUAAUUCAAAGCUGAUUUAAAUUAAGACUCCUAGUCUAUUGAAUCAUAGGGAAUCAUCUGUAAAUAAGAAAGACCUCUAACUAUCAAAGCAUAACAAUUAGAUUAUGUGCUAAGAUAAGAAAGAGAGAGAGGAGGCGUCCAAGAAAAGAAAUCGGUCCCUCUCCUUGGCGUGUUAUUUUGGGCAUCCUACCCCCUUGGCAUAAAGAGGCCUUGGCAUCCCACUUCCAGGUGUGAGGCAUCACACCAAAGCUCUUCAUCCUCUCUCCCUUGCUG
rnacentral:lncRNA from 1 species